UAAAAGUUUUAUCCUGACUUUAAUUCUCAGUUUUAAAUUAAAGCACAUGUAAAUUUUAGUAUGACUAUAAUAAAGUAAUAAAGUCUCGAUGAUAAUUAUUUAAAUUUUUCAAAAAAUUUUUACAAUAAUUUAAUCCUCAGUGUUUAAUGCUAAAAAAUAAAUGAAAGUUUGAGUUGGUUAUUUUAAUUAAAUUGUAAUGACCGGUUAAAAUUUGUGCCAGCAGCCGCGGUUAGACUGAGGGUCAAAUUGAGAAACUAUUGGUUAAAAGUAAUUAAAUGUAUAUCUAAAAAUUUAAAAAAUCUGUGUUAAUAAAAGGUGAAAUUAAAUUUUUAGCUAGCAGAUUGUUUAUUAUUAUAAAUAAAAGAAAUAUUGAAGUUACUAAAAUAAAGGCAUAAACUAGGAUUAGAUACCCUACUAUACUUUAUUUUAAAUUGUAUUACCAGGGUAGUAAACAGUUAUAAUCUUGAAACUCAAAGGAUUUGGCGGUAGCUUAGUCUGUUUAGAGGAACCUGUCCUGUAAACGACAAACCACGAAUUAUCUUACCUUGUUUUGUAAAUACACCAGUUUGUAUACCGUCAUUAUCAGAUAACUUUAUAAAAAUAUUAGUUAUUGUAAUAAGAAAUUCUUAAAAUAUUAGAUCAAGGUGCAGCUAAUAAUAAGGUAGAGAUGGGUUACAAUAAAUAAAAUUAUUACGGAAAAAAAUUAUAAAAUUUUUUAGAAGGAGGAUUUAAAUGUAAAAGUAUUUUAAUAAGUUACUUUGACUUUAGCUCUAAGCUAUGUACACAUCGCCCGUCGCUCUCGUUAAUUAAAGCGAGAUAAGUCGUAACAUAGUAGGUGUACUGGAAAGUGUACCUAGAGGGCA
rnacentral:ncRNA from 1 species